AUUGAACGCUGGCGGCAGGCCUAACACAUGCAAGUCGAACGGUAGCACAGAGAGCUUGCUCUCGGGUGACGAGUGGCGGACGGGUGAGUAACGUCUGGGAAACUGCCCGAUGGAGGGGGAUAACUACUGGAAACGGUAGCUAAUACCGCAUAACGUCGCAAGACCAAAGUGGGGGACCUUCGGGCAUCCCACCAUCGGAUGUGCCCAGAUGGGAUUAGCUAGUAGGUGGGGUAAUGGCUCACCUAGGCGACGAUCCCUAGCUGGUCUGCGAGGAUGACCAGCCACACUGGAACUGAGACACGGUCCAGACUCCUACGGGAGGCAGCAGUGGGGAAUAUUGCACAAUGGGCGCAAGCCUGAUGCAGCCAUGCCGCGUGUAUGAAGAAGGCCUUCGGGUUGUAAAGUACUUUCAGCGGGGAGGAAGGCGGUGAAGUUAAUAACUUCACCGAUUGACGUUACCCGCAGAAGAAGCACCGGCUAACUCCGUGCCAGCCGCCGCGGUAA
rnacentral:rRNA from 1 species